AAAACUGUAUUUUUUAUAUUUCAAGAAAGUGUGAAUUUAUAUCAAUUAUUGCAAAAGAUUAUGUGCUGUUGAAUGAACCACAUAGUUGAUCGUAUUGUUAACCAAGCAGCAAUUGUUGCUUAGUUCCUAGUCGUUCCGGUGCUUGAAAACUAAAAAUAAUUAAUUCAAUGUGAGCAAACACAAAACAUAAAACACCAUUAGCGCAUAGAGGGUAUAGGUGAUCAAUUAUUCAGAGCAGUUUUAGCUUCUUCGGCUUUACCAUUUAUUCCGCCUCAAGCUUUGCUUACAGUGUUAUGUUCAGACACUCAAAACUUGACUUUACAUCGAGAUGUAGAGAUGAAUGCGUCCUAUUUUUUGUAUUUCAAAAAUUACAGCA